GACGAACGCUGGCGGCGUGCUUAACACAUGCCAGUCGAACGGAAAGGCCCUGCUUGCAGGGUACUCGAGUGGCGAACGGGUGAGUAACACGUGGGUGAUCUGCCCUGCACUUCGGGAUAAGCCUGGGAAACUGGGUCUAAUACCGGAUAGGAGCCAUUUUUAGUGUGAUGGUUGGAAAGUUUUUUUCGGUGUAGGAUGAGCUCGCGGCCUAUCAGCUUGUUGGUGGGGUAAUGGCCUACCAAGGCGGCGACGGGUAGCCGGCCUGAGAGGGUGGACGGCCACAUUGGGACUGAGAUACGGCCCAGACUCCUACGGGAGGCAGCAGUGGGGAAUAUUGCACAAUGGGCGCAAGCCUGAUGCAGCGACGCCGCGUGGGGGAUGACGGCCUUCGGGUUGGAAACUCCUUUCGCUAGGGACGAAGCUUUUUGUGACGGUACCUAGAUAAGAAGCACCGGCUAACUACGUG
rnacentral:rRNA from 1 species